rnacentral:rRNA from 1 species
AGUGAAUAGAUACCCAGGUAGUCCUAGCCGUAAACGAUACUCGCUAGGUGUCGGCCACGGUGCGACCGUUGUCGGUGCCGUAGGGAAAGCCGUGAAGCGAGCCACCUGGGAAGUACGGCCGCAAGGCUGAAACUUAAAGGAAUUGGCGGGGGAGCACCACAACGGGUGGAGCUUGCGGUUUAAAUUGGAUUCAACGCCGGAAAUCUUACCGGGACCGACAGCAAUAUGAAGGCCAGGCUGAAGACUUUGCCGGAUUAGCUGAGAGGUGGUGCAUGGCCGUCGUCAGUUCGUACUGUGAAGCAUCCUGUUAAGUCAGGCAACGAGCGAGACCCACGCCCACAGUUGCCAGCGUACUCUCCGGAGUGACGGGUACACUGUGGGGACCGCCGCUGCUAAAGCGGAGGAAGGAAUGGGCAACGGUAGGUCAGUAUGCCCCGAAUAUCCCGGGCUACACGCGAGCUACAAUGGUUGGUACAAUGGGUAUCUACCCCGAAAGGGGAUGGAAAUCUCCUAAAGCCAAUCUUAGUUCGGAUUGAGGGCUGCAACUCGCCCUC